rnacentral:rRNA from 1 species
UACGAAGGGGGCUAGCGUUGCUCGGAAUCACUGGGCGUAAAGCGCACGUAGGCGGCUUUUUAAGUCAGGGGUGAAAUCCUGGAGCUCAACUCCAGAACUGCCUUUGAUACUGGGAAGCUUGAGUCCGGAAGAGGUGAGUGGAACUCCGAGUGUAGAGGUGAAAUUUGUAGAUAUUCGGAAGAACACCAGUGGCGAAGGCGGCUCACUGGUCCGGUACUGACGCUGAGGUGCGAAAGUGUGGGGAGCGAACAGG